AUUGAACGCUGGCGUAUGCCUUACACAUGCAAGUCGAACGGUAACAGGUUAAGCUGACGAGUGGCGAACGGGUGAGUAAUAUAUCGGAGCGUGCCCAGUCGUGGGGGAUAACUGCUCGAAAGAGCAGCUAAUACCGCAUACGACCUGAGGGUGAAAGCGGGGGAUCGCAAGACCUCGCGCGAUUGGAGCGGCCGAUAUCAGAUUAGGUAGUUGGUGGGGUAAAGGCCCACCAAGCCAACGAUCUGUAGCUGGUCUGAGAGGACGACCAGCCACACUGGGACUGAGACACGGCCCAGACUCCUACGGGAGGCAGCAGUGGGGAAUUUUGGACAAUGGGCGCAAGCCUGAUCCAGCCAUGCCGCGUGCGGGAAGAAGGCCUUCGGGUUGUAAACCGCUUUUGUCAGGGAAGAAAAGGUUCUGGUUAAUACCUGGGACUCAUGACGGUACCUGAAGAAUAAGCACCGGCUAACUACGUGCCAGCAGCCGCGGUAAUACGUAGGGUGCAAGCGUUAAUCGGAAUUACUGGGCGUAAAGCGUGCGCAGGCGGUUAUGCAAGACAGAGGUGAAAUCCCCGGGCUCAACCUGGGAACUGCCUUUGUGACUGCAUGGCUAGAGUACGGUAGAGGGGGAUGGAAUUCCGCGUGUAGCAGUGAAAUGCGUAGAUAUGCGGAGGAACACCGAUGGCGAAGGCAAUCCCUGGACCUGUACCGACGCUCAUGCGCGAAAGCGUGGGGAGCAAACAGG
rnacentral:rRNA from 1 species